GCAUGUUUGAGUGACUCAUUAUCAAACUUCGCACUAUGUUUAACCACAGAAACCAGUAACUAUGAGAGAGAACAAACAAAUGAAGAAGUGAACUAUAAAACUGAGUGAUUACCUACAAAUGAAAAUAAAAUGGAGACAAAUAAAACUUAGAACAGAGAAAGUGACAGAAACAAGAAGAGAAUUUACUCACUGAGGAAGAUGAAGCAGACCAAAGUGUGUUUCAUCUCAGAGCUCUGAUGGUUUAAUGCUGCUUCUCUUCUUCUUCACUUCAAACCAGGAACUUCUUACUUCUCUUAAUGAUGAGGUCACGCCUUCAAACCACACACACACACACACACACACACACUCCUGCUCUCUCACCAGUCGGGGUGAGCGAUGCGAUCCUACUACAAGGCAGAUAAAUCCCCGCAGUCUGAGUGUGUGUGCAGGUCUGGAUCCUGGAGAUCACGCUGGAAGGAUCCAUCUAGUGGAAUCACUGGACUCUCUUCAUGGAGCUCAUGGCUCAGUAAAACAGCUGACAGAGACACGGAGCAUCGUUAAUCACAUGAAACCGGAACUUGUGCGAUUUUACCGCCUUCUACCGAACAUUCAUCUGACUGUUAGGGGCCAAUGACUCUCGAAAACAUUUUAUCAGUAAGUACUGUAUACAGUAUGAUGACAGUAUUUUCCCACAUUUUCUGGAUUCUGUACCACUACUGUGUGUAAAAUGCCAUCAAAAAGUCAAUUAAGUUUUAUUCUUUCUCACCUGUCUUUCUGUCUCCUUUCACUUUUUAAAGUUUGCCAUGUUAGAAAAAUAUUUUGCCCUGCCAUGCUGUUUAUUGAUUUGGUAAAUAAAUAGUUUAUGAAAAUAUCACUAAAUCUGUCAUUUAUUAUUUUAAAUAUUCAGUAAUGAUCAUGUCUCACCUCUAGUCUUCACUGUCUUAAUUUCAGGCUUCUGCCAUGUGUUGUAGAUAGUUCAGGAAGUUAACUUGACCAAGCAGUCUUUGGGUUCCGGCUAAGUACUGUUUAGAAUACCAGAAUACCAACAAGACAGUGUACAUCACCGUCUCAACGACAUUUGUUUUCUGUUGCUUAUUCUGUCUUCACCAACAAUAAAAGACUGCACAUUAAGAACCCCA
ensembl:lncRNA